CCUGUUUGGCAGUCGAACGGCCGGCAAUAUGGCUACCUCCCCGUUCAACUCCCGAACGUUCAGCAGUUUUCUUACCUCCCCGUUCGGGAAACGAACGGUCGGCAGUAUCAGUGCCUCCACGUUCGUUUCCCGAACAUUCGGCAGUUUCAGCCCUUUCGCCAGUUCUCCUACCUCCACGUUCACUCCCGGAAUGUUCGGCAGUUUCGGAUUCAUUCCCAAACCAGCAGCCUGCAACUCGAGCCUCGCCUGAUGACGUGUUCGUGCGGCUGCACUGCGACGCCUCCCGCGACCUCUUCCACUUGCGGCCUUCCCGCCGGCCGCCU